rnacentral:rRNA from 1 species
CCUACGGGAGGCAGCAGUGGGGAAUAGUGGGCAAUGGGCGCAAGCCUGACCCAGCAACGCCGCGUGAAGGAAGAAGGCUUUCGGGGUGUAAACUUCGUUUAAGAGGGAAGAGCAGAAGACGGUACCUCUGGAAUAAGACACGGCUAACGACGAGCCAGCAGCCGCGGUAAUACGUAGGUGGCAAGCGUUGUCCGGAUUUACUGGGUGUAAAGGGCGUGCAGCCGGGAAGACAAGUCAGAUGUGAAAUCCCGCGGCGCAACCGCGGAACUGCAUUUGAAACUGUUUUUCUUGAGUACCGGAGAGGUCAUCGGAAUUCCUUGUGUAGCGGUGAAAUGCUUAGAUAUCAGGAAGAACCCCAGUGGCGAAGGCGGUUGACUGGACGGCAACUGACGGUGAGGCGCGAACGCGUGGGGAGCAAACAGGAUUAGAUACCCCGGUAGUC